rnacentral:rRNA from 1 species
UGAGGAAUAUUGGUCAAUGGGCGAGAGCCUGAACCAGCCAAGUCGCGUGAGGGAAGAAUGGUCUAUGGCCUGUAAACCUCUUUUGUCAGGGAAGAAUAAGGAUGACGAGUCAUUCGAUGCCAGUACUUGACGAAUAAGCAUCGGCUAACUCCGUGCCAGCAGCCGCGGUAAUACGGGGGAUGCGAGCGUUAUCCGGAUUUAUUGGGUUUAAAGGGCGCGUAGGCGGGACGUCAAGUCAGCGGUAAAAGACUGCAGCUAAACUGUAGCACGCCGUUGAAACUGGCGCCCUGGAGACGAGACGAGGGAGGCGGAACAAGUGAAGU